UACGGGGGGGGCAAGCGUUGUUCGGAAUUACUGGGCGUAAAGGGCUCGUAGGCGGCCAACUAAGUCAGACGUGAAAUCCCUCGGCUUAACCGGGGAACUGCUUCUGAUACUGGAUGGCUUGAGAUUGGGAGAGGGAUGCGGAAUUCCAGGUGUAGCGGUGAAAUGCGUAGAUAUCUGGAGGAACACCGGUGGCGAAGGCGGCAUCCUGGACCAACACUGACGCUGAGUGAGCGAAAGCCAGGGGAGCAAACGGG
rnacentral:rRNA from 1 species